rnacentral:rRNA from 1 species
GAUGAACGCUGGCGGCGUGCCUAAUACAUGCAAGUCGAGCGAACGGACGAGAAGCUUGCUUCUCUGAUGUUAGCGGCGGACGGGUGAGUAACACGUGGAUAACCUACCUAUAAGACUGGGAUAACUUCGGGAAACCGGAGCUAGUACCGGAUAAUAUUUUGAACCGCAUGGUUCAAAAGUGAAAGACGGUCUUGCUGUCACUUAUAGAUGGAUCCGCGCUGCAUUAGCUAGUUGGUAAGGUAACGGCUUACCAAGGCAACGAUGCAUAGCCGACCUGAGAGGGUGAUCGGCCACACUGGAACUGAGACACGGUCCAGACUCCUACGGGAGGCAGCAGUAGGGAAUCCUCCGCAAUGGGCGAAAGCCUGACGGAGCAACGCCGCGUGAGUGAUGAAGGUCUUCGGAUCGUAAAACUCUGUUAUUAGGGAAGAACAUAUGUGUAAGUAACUGUGCACAUCUUGACGGUACCUAAUCAGAAAGCCACGGCUAACUACGUG